rnacentral:lncRNA from 1 species
GUGGACGUCGCCGCCGCCGUAGUAGGGGCACGUCGCCAACGCCGCCCUCCGCGGCCGCUGCUGGAGUCGUCGCCGCCGCCGCAGGAGUGCACGUCGCCCCUGCCGCCGUGGGGGCACGUCGUCAACGCCGCCCCCUGCGCCCGUCGCCGCCGCCGCUGCAGGUGCUCGUCGCCCCUGCCGCCGACUCCUGCAAACUCUUUAUGGGUGAAGAUAUGGCAGACAAUAUCAGGACCCUUGAGGAGGAAGAGGAGUAUCGUACGAUUACUGCUAUGAGAUUCAAGACUGAGGAUGACGGCUUCAAGUUAUAGGCUAUUAUAUUUUGCAAUCAUGUCUCUAAGUUGUUUUGUCAUUCCUACAAUUUCAGGAAAGUAGAAGAAGAUGUGUGAGAUGGAUAAGAAGUAGAAGCAGCCCUUUGCUAUGCACUUUACAUAGUUUUGUCAUGCUCUUGGUCGUAAUGAAUACAUUGGACUGUAAUGAAUCUUGAUGUGCUUUCCUGUAGUAUGAUGGAUGUACUGCUAUUUUGAGUUGUGCUCGCAUGGUUGAAUUUUGAUGUGUUUUACUGU